rnacentral:lncRNA from 1 species
UUUUUUUAUUGCAUCAUCGAUUGCUAUAAAUAGAAUAAGACAAUGUGUCUCAAUAAAGUGCAGUAACUCGAUUAAAAUAAUGAAAGUAUAUUUAUAUUAUUGAAAUCAUAUUAAAGUAUGAGUGCCCUAUUAAACACAAUUGAAGUCCAAUUACCUUAUUAAACACUAAAUUAUAACUACCGCAAAUGAAGUUAACAAAAAACGACGCAAGUUAAAGAAAAAACAAGGUCAAGUUUUACAUAGCCCUUUUUGUAUCCAUUAUUUCAAAAACAAAAUAGUUCUGAAUAGUAAUAUUAGAAUUACGUGUAAAAUAUUUUAUUGUAUGAAUGUGUAACUAUAAAUAAUUCUAUAGCAAAAAGAAUUUUAUAACAAUGGAUGUGACAGCAAAGUGGAGUUCUUAAUUAAUAUUACCAAGCAUGGUUUAUGAAUAAUGCUAUAUGCAGUUGCUCACUACCACUAUCGCCCUACAUGGCGGUUAUUAAUUUGAUGGGAAGUGCUAAAUGUACAUAAUUAUCUACAUAAUGGUGUCCAUAAAUACACAUGGCACUGGAUCUAACCUCUAAUUAAAAUCUUACACAUCAACAACCGGAUGAUUGCCACAUCACAUUAUAAACACCAUUAUGUGCAAUAAUUAUGUACAAGUAGAAUUUUCCUAAUUUGAUACAUGAUGCAAUAAAAAACUACCAUAUUAAUACAUCAAAUUAUCAACCACCACAUGUAUGCCACGAUGGAUAAAAUGGUAGUGAACAACAGCAAAUAACAUUACUCUUUUCUUUUUCUUUUCUUUUUUUUAUUGCAUCAUCGAUUGCUAUAAAUAGAAUAAGACAAUGUGUCUCAAUAAAGUGCAGUAACUCGAUUAAAAUAAUGAAAGUAUAUUUAUAUUAUUGAAAUCAUAUUAAAGUAUGAGUGCCCUAUUAAACACAAUUGAAGUCCAAUUACCUUAUUAAACACUAAAUUAUAACUACCGCAAAUGAAGUUAACAAAAAACGACGCAAGUUAAAGAAAAAACAAGGUCAAGUUUUACAUAGCCCUUUUUGUAUCCAUUAUUUCAAAAACAAAAUAGUUCUGAAUAGUAAUAUUAGAAUUACGUGUAAAAUAUUUUAUUGUAUGAAUGUGUAACUAUAAAUAAUUCUAUAGCAAAAAGAAUUUUAUAACAAUGGAUGUGACAGCAAAGUGGAGUUCUUAAUUAAUAUUACCAAGCAUGGCAUACAGUUGUUGUCGCUACAAUAUAAUUUUAAUUUCUUUAUUCUUUAUCAAUAUUAUCUAGUAUACAAAACUAGACAUAGUCAAUUUUAAGAUCAUUUCUUAAAAAAAGCUAAGGAAAUUUUCAAAAUACACCAUUUAUGUAGGGUGCUAUCAUACUUCACAGAAUCACAUACCAUAUUUUACAUAUUUACAUUUUGGAAAUUGCUCAGGGGACUUACCAACCCCUCACUGUAGGGGUUGGUCCCACAUGAAAAAAACAAAAAAAAAAUACGCUAAGACCCACAACUAUGAGUAAUCUAACAAGGGUCUAUAAAACAAACCCUAUAAGUAUAGCAAGUCUCUUACAUUUCACUUGGUACAUUUUGCAUAAUAGUUACAAAAAUCACAUUUCGCUGAAAAUUUUUAAAUGUCAUUAUAAAUAGUGAAACACAUUAUUUUUUCAUACCAAUAUUAUUUUGUAUAUAACGAUUUAUAAAUUUAUUGUCUACUCUUCCUAAAUCUAAAGUCAAAUACCUAAAAUUAAUUUUAAUAAGUUAAGAAAAUACUUCUUUUGACUCAACAUUGUCAAAACAAAUAAAAAUUCUUAAGAAUGCAAUUGCAAUUUUAUUAAUAUCUUGUACACAAAUUUCUCUCUCUUUUUUUCAAGUUUCAUAAAAAAAGAAUAGUCUAUAAAUUUUGAGUUAAUUUAUAAAAUAAUGCUUACACCUCAAGGUGUACACACGAAAUUCACACCCCUCUCAUAUGGAAUGGGGCCCCACGCAUAUUUUAUUGUGAGUGUGUGUCCCUCCAUGUGAGGUGGUAUAUACCCGUGUGUACACAGUUAUUUACCCGUAGCAUUAUCCCAAUUUAUAUAGGGAUUAUAAAUUACUCCUAGACCAUCCCAAACAUGCCAUUCAAGUGUAUAACUA